rnacentral:lncRNA from 1 species
GCAUAGCAUACCAUCUUUGCAUCUUAUUGGUUGCCCUUGCACGUGGUUGAUUGUAUCCUUGUUGCUUGUUUGUGUUGUUGGGUAGAGCCGGGAGACGAGUUCGCUAACGAGGAGCCUGUUGAGUUUGCUUUUGAGGAUCCAGUCAACUCUGACAACUGUGCAGGCAAGAUGAUCAUACCCUCGAAAUCACUACUAUCUUUGCUAUGCUAGUUUGCUCGCUCUUUUGCUUUGCCAAUGCUACGAUGCCUACCACUUGCUUGUCAGCCUCCCAAUUGCCAUGAUUGAGCCUCUAACUCAGCUUUGUCCUAGCAAACCGUUGAUUGGCUAUGUUACCGCUUUGCUCAGCCCUUCUUAUAGCGUUGCUAGUUGCAGGUGAAGAUUGGAGUUGUUCCUUGUUGGAACCUUUAUUUACUUGUUGGGAUAUCAUUAUAUUGCUAUGUUAUCUUAAUGCAUCUAUAUACUUGGUAAAGGGUGGAAGGCUCGGCCUCUCGCCUAGUGUUUUGUUCCACUCUUGCCGCCCUAGUUUCCGUCAUACCGCUGUUAUGUUCCCGGAUUGUUGCGUCCCUUACGCGGUUGGGCUAUAAUGGGAACCCCUUGAUAGUUCGCCUUGAUUAAAGCUUUUCCAGCAAUGCCCAACAUUGGUUUUACCAUUUGCCACCUAGCCUCUUUUUCCCUUGGGUUUCCGGAGCCCGAGGGUCAUCUUUAUUUUAGCCCCCCACGGGCCAGUGCUCCUCUGAGUGUUGGUCCGAAAUGAGCUGCCUGCGGGGCCACCUCGGGGAAACUUGAGGGUUGGUUUUACUCGUAGCUAGUCUCAUCUGAGUGUGCCCUGAGAACGAGAUAUGUGCAGCUCCUAUCGGGAUUUGUCGGCACAUUCGGGUGGUGUUGCUGGACUUGUUUUAACCUGUCGAGUCGUCUUGUUGUACCGAGAUACCGAGUCUGAUCGGUGUGUCUUGGGUGGAGGUCUAUUCCUUCAUUGACCGUGAGAGCUUAUUAUGGGCUAAGUUGGGACCCCCCUGCAGGGAUUGAUCUUUCGAAAGCCGUGCCCGUGGUUAUGAGCAGAUGGGAAUUUGUUAAUGUCCGGUUGUAGAUAACUUGAACCUUAAUUAAUUAAAAUGAAUCAACUGAGUGUGUUGCCGUGAUGGCCUCUUCUCGGCAGAGUCCGGGAAGCGGACACGGUGUUGGAGUUAUGUUUGCGCAGGUUGCUCUCUAGUUUCUCGCUCGUGCUUUGCCUCCUCUUCUCGCUCUCUUUUGCGAAUAAGUUAGCCACCAUAUAUGCUAGUCGCUUGCUGCAGCUCCACUUAUACAUUACCCCCUUCCUACCUAUUAAGCUUAAAUAGUCUUGAUCGCGAGGGUGCGAGAUUGCUGAGUCCCUGUGGCUCAUAGAUUACUAUUACACCAGAUGCAGGGACAGAUGAUACAGCUCCAGAUGGCGCGCUCGAGCUCAAGUGGGAGUACGACGAGGACUCUCAGCGAUACUAUGUGUCUUUUCCUGAUGAUCAGUAGUGGUGCCCAAUCGGGGUUAGAUUCAGGGCCUUGUCGCAUGUUGGGGGUCUUUUCUAUUUUGGCGCCGUAGUCGGGCCAUGAGUGAUUUGUAUGAUGGAUGUUAUUUAUGUACUUUGAUGUGACGUGGCGAGUGUAAGCCAACUAUGUUCCUCCCCUUUAUAUUAUUUAUGUACUUGGGAUGUGUGAUGAUUUCCCGACUUGCGACAUUGCUUUCAAUGCGGCUAUGCCUCUAAGUCGUGCCUCGACACGUGGGAGAUAUAGCCGCAUCGAGGGCGUUACAAGUUGGUAAUCAGAGCCUUCCCCGACCUUAGGAGCCCCCAUUGCUUGAUCGUUUUUAGCAGCCGAGUUGUGUCUAGAAAAAUGUUUUGAGUCCUUUAGGAAUUAUAUAUCGGAGAGCUUUGGAAUUCUUUUUACUUCCCAGUCUCCUCAUCGCUCUGGUAAGGCAUCCUGGCGUAGAGUUUUGACUCUUCUCUUCUCAAAUUUCACUAAAAAAAAUUUUAGGAUCACGCGAGUAUCUUGGAUUUGUUCCGAUGGCUUAUGAUGAGAACACUGUCUUGGUGCCUCCUGUCAGGGGUUUAGUGGAAGUGUCCCGGGGAGUUGAGCUCUGAGGUGUUGUCAUCAUAAUUUUAUCGUGGCAAUUCUGGUAUACUUGAGAUAUGUUCGCGACAUCGAAAAUCUCCUUUAUGCAGUUCGUUGGUGAGAUAACCUCGACGCCACCCAGUACUGGGGCGGGAGUUCGGGAGUAUCGCCAUAACUUGUAUAACGGAUGCUUUUCGAAGGUUGAGGUAGAUGGUUUCCGAAGGUUUCUUGGUUAUGUGUUGAAGGAUGGAUACAGCUGGAUGUAGGUAUUGCUAGUUUGGGUGAGAUAUUAUGCUUCCCCUGUAUCCCGAACACCUGAUUGCAUAACCGGAAAGUUUCGGGAGUUUCAUAGGUGGGAAUUCAAGUAGUUUUUAGGAUAUCUUUCCGACAGAUGUAUGAUAUGAAAUUGGGGUUCGACGUCUAGUGGUUCGCCUAGUCACGGUCGAUUUUACAUUGGUCUCGUUGUGUCUUAAAGAGUCCUUGGCUUUGCUGACUCGGGGACGCUUCGUAUGUCAUGUGCACUGCCUUGUACAUGAUAGUGCUGUACGAUCGAGCCCGUGUAGGUCCCACCAUGAAAACUUCGGACGAAAUUUCUAUCAUAUGUUUGUUCCGCCUUAUUCCGCAAGCCAAUCCUUGGUUUUAUUUUGAGUUGUGGUACUCGAGUUGCUUCGACGUCAUAUGUUGAUUCCAUCCCUUGUUGAUGUACCUCUUCUACCCGAUUCUUCGUGGCUUCGCAAUUUAGGAAUAUGUGACCACUUCAAGAGAAGUGCAUUCGUUCAUUUUGUUCGGAUGUGAAGACUUUAUGUUGCAAUUUUUCAUUCCAUUGGUUUCAGCUUCAUUUAUCUGCCUAUGUGCUAACGGUGGUCAACCUCUUCAGGAUGGCUCCCGCUAAGAGCACCAGUCAGACCCAGAAUCAAGAUCAGCCACCACCUCCGCCUCCUCCGGAAGCAUGGCAAGCUGUGAUGGCCGCAACUAAUGCAAAUACACAGUUGAUCAUGCAAAUCCUCCAAGAGCGGAAUCAAGGCAGUCAAGGGAAUCAAGGCAACAAUCAGAACCAUUUUGCUACUCUAAACCAGUUCCUCGCAAAUGGUCCAAAGACGUUCAGCAAUUGUGUUGAGGCUACCGAUGCUGAUGAUUGGCUAGUGGAUCUGGGCAAGCAUUUUGAAUGCAGCAACGUCAGGCCUGAAGAUUUCGUCAAGUUCCCUUCUUUCCAGCUCAAAGAUCAGGCUGCAGAGUGGUUCCAGCAGUACAAGGAUUCCAGAGGUGGACGUUUGAUCACUUGGGAUGAUUUCCGUCAUGAUUUCCGAGCUCAUCACAUCCCUCAGAGUGUGACUGAAAGCAAACGUGAGGAAUUCCGCAAUCUGAAGCAAGGCUCUUUGUCUAUCUAUGACUACAACAAGUUGUUCCAGAAGCUCGCCCGUUUUGCCAAGCAGGAUGUUCCUGAUGAGAAGAGCAUGAUCUAUCAGUUCAGGGGUGGUCUCCGUGAAGAAAUUCAGCUCGCUCUCGUCCUUUUCGAGCCGUUGAGAUACGAUGAGUUCUACAACAUGGCACUGAAGCAAGAGGCUGCUCAGUUGAGGUGUGAUGCUUCCAGGAAGCGAGUCAGAGACACUACACCUUUUUCCUCUACUCAAGUGGCCAAGCAGCAGAAGUAUUGGCUUCCUCCUCCUCCGUUCCGUCAGCCGUAUCAGCAGAAGAGCAAAGGUGGCAGUGGUUCUUCCCACCCACCCAACCCAGGCUUUCAGAACAAGACUUCGUCUCAAGCUCCAAGAUCGAGUGCUCCGUACCACCGUCCGCUCUCAGAAGUCACGUGCAACAAGUGCCAACAGAAGGGUCACUACGCCAACAAGUGUUUCAGCCAGAGGCGUCUUCCUCCUACUCCUCCUGUCAGAUCGGCAAGUAUAGCUGUGGUCAAGCAUAACCCCAAGUCCGCCAAGGUCAACUUGAUGAACGCAACUCAGGCAGAGGAUUCGUCAGAUGUGAUCAUGGGUAACCUUCCUGUUAAUGAUAUUCCUGCAAAAGGUCUUUUUGACUCUGGUGCAUCGCAUUCCUUCAUGUCAUUCCCAUUUGCAUCGGAGAACAAUUUUAGCACUAAGACAUUACCUAGAGCUAUGCAAGUCGUCUCUCCAGCUAAGCGUCUGAGUUCUAGUAUGAUGAUUCCGGAUAUUUCUAUCAUGAUGGGUGAUUUCAAGUUCCUCGCUUCUCCAAUGGUUCUUGGUAAUUCUGAUAUCGAUCUUAUUCUUGGGAUGGACUGGCUCUCUAAACACAAGGCUCACCUCGAUUGUGCAACCAGGCAGAUUCAACUGAUUCAUUCAUCUGAGGAUGUCAUUGUCUUUGCCGCUCGGGAUAAUACCAUCCGGUUGUUUUCUCUCAAUGAGAAGGGUGAAUUGGAUGCUAUUUCGCAGAUUCCGGUUGUCUGUGAGUAUCAAGACGUCUUCCCAGAAGAACUCCCAGGAAUGCCUCCGCACCGGCCGGUUGAAUUUGUUAUUGAACUUUUGCCCGGUACGGAACCUGUGUGCAAACGUCCCUACAAGCUCGGCCCCGAAGAGUUGAAGGAGUUGAAGAAACAACUCGAUGUUCAAGAAAGAAUGGGUCUCAUUCGGCCUAGUACUUCUCUGUGGGGUUGUGGUGUUCUUUUUGUGAAGAAGAAGGAUGGAACGGACCGACUUUGUGUUGAUUAUCGUCCAUUGAACAAGAAGACCAUCAAGAACAAAUACCCACUUCCCAACAUCAAUGAGCUGUUCGAACAACUCAAGGGUGCCCAAGUAUUCUCCAAGCUUGAUCUCCGUAUGGGUUAUCAUCAAAUUCGUAUUCGUGAGCAAGAUAUUCCCAAGACGGCGUUCAGAACAAGCUAUGGGUCAUAUGAAUACACUGUCAUGUCUUUUGGCCUCGCCAACGCUCCUCCGACGUUCUCUCGCAUGAUGAACUUCAUCUUCAACCCCUACACCAAUGACUUCGUUUUGGUCUAUCUCGACGACAUUCUAGUUUUCUCGAAGAACAAGGAAGAUCAUGCCAAGCACUUGCGUUUGGUUCUUGACAAGCUCAGAGAACAUCAGUUCUACGCCAAGUUCUCCAAGUGUGAAAUUUGGCUUGAUGAGGUGCUUUAUCUUGGUCAUAUCAUCUCUUCCAAGGGCAUUUUCGUGGAUCCUGAGAAGGUGUCUGCAAUUGUUAAUUGGGAACCUCAUCAGAAUGUGAAGCAACUCCGUAGCUUCCUCGGUCUCGCAAGCUACUACCGAAGAUUCGUUGAAAACUUUUCCAAGAUCGCUAAGCCUCUGUCAAAUCUUCUUUAGAAGCACGUCAAGUACGUUUGGUCUCCGGAGUGUGAUAUUGCUUUCAACACUUUGAAAGAGAAGUUGAUCACUGCUCCAGUUCUGACUCCGCCUGAUGAAACCAAGCCGUACGAGGUCUUUUGUGAUGCCUCUCUCCAAGGUCUAGGUGCUGUACUGAUGCAAGAGAAGAAAGUUGUUGCUUAUACCUCUCGCCAGUUGAAGCCUAAUGAGAAGAACUACCCCACUCAUGAUCUCGAGUUGGCGGCAGUUGUGCAUGCUUUGUUGACUUGGAGACAUCUUCUAUUGGGAAGGAAAGUGGACAUUUUCACUGAUCACAAGAGUCUCAAGUACAUCUUCAGCCUAAUCUCAACCUCAGGCAAACUCGAUUGGUCGAAAUGAUUCAAGAGUAUAAUCCGAGUAUUGAGUAUACUCCAGGCAAGGCUAAUGUGAUUGCUGACGCUUUGAGCAGAAAAGCAUAUUGCAACAGUCUGAUUCUCAAGCCUUAUCAACCCGAGCUUUGUGAAGCCUUUCGCAAACUUAAUCUACAAAUUGUUCCUCAAGGUUUCCUCGCCAACCUUCAAGUCUCUCCCACCUUAAAAGACCAGAUUCGCCAAGCCCAGCUUCUUGAUGCUAUGGUGAAAAAGGUGAAGAUUGGUAUUGCAAAGAGUCAGUCCAAGUACAAGUGCUACCGACUUGAUGACAAGGACACUCUCUUCUUCAAGGAUCGAAUUGUGGUACCCAAAGGUGAACUUCGUAAAGUGAUUAUGAACGAGGCUCACAACUCUCUCCUCUCCAUCCAACCUAGGAGCAUGAAGAUGUAUCAGGAUCUCAAGCAAACUUAUUGGUGGACUCGAAUGAAGCGCGAGAUCGCUCAAUUCGUGAAUGAAUGUGAUGUCUGCAGAAGAGUGAAGGCAGAACACCAAAGGCCAGUAGGUCUCCUCCAACCUCUUGCCAUUCCAGAAUGGAAGUUUGACCACAUUGAAAUGGACUUCGUGACUGGGUUUCCAAAGUCCAAGCGUGGCAAUGAUGCUAUAUUCGUUGUCAUCGACAAGCUCACCAAAGUGGCUCACUUUCUGCCUAUCAAAGAGUCAAUCACUCCAGCUCAAUUGGCGGAACUCUACACCUCUCGAAUUGUCUCUCUGCACGGUAUUCCUCAAGUGAUAUCUUCAGACCGUGGCAGCAUCUUUACCUCCAAGUUUUGGGAUUCUUUUCAGAAGGCCAUGGGCACCAACAUCCACUUCAGCACUGCUUUCCAUCCUCAAACAAGCGGUCAAGUCGAGCGUGUCAACCAGAUUCUUGAAGAUAUGCUCAGGGCUUGUUUUAUCUCCUUCGGCAUGAAGUGGGAGGAUUGUCUUCCUUAUGCUGAAUUCUCAUACAACAACAGUUUUCAAGCAAGUUCGGGUAAGGCCCCAUUUGGAAUUCUGUAUGGAAGGAAAUGCCGUACUCCUCUCAACUGGUCUGAAACCGGUGAACGUCAGCUGCUGGGUAAUGACCUAAUCACAGAGGCAGAAGAAAUGUGCAAGGUCAUUCGUGAUAACCUCAAAGCAGCCCAAUCCCGCCAGAAGAGCUACUAUGAUAGUAAGCACCGUGAUUUGGCUUUCGAGAUCGGAGAUCAUGUUUACCUCCGCGUCUCUCGUAUGAAAGGGACUCGUCGAUUCGGUAUCAAAGGGAAGCUUGCCCCUAGAUACGUCGGACCUUUCAAGAUUGUCAGCAAGAGAGGCGACCUCGCAUAUCAACUCGAGCUUCCUUCAAACUUUGCUAAUGUUCAUGAUGUGUUCCAUGUCUCCCAACUCCGAAAGUGCUUCAAGACGCCUGAGCGCACCGUCAACUUCGAGGACAUUGAGCUCCAAGAAGAUCUCUCCUAUCGUGAGCACCCAGUUGCAAUCCUUGAAGAGAUUGAACGCAGAACUCGCAACAAGUCAAUCAAAUUUCUCAAAGUCAAGUGGUCACACCAUUCCGACUGUGAAGCUACCUGGGAACGCGAGGAUCACCUCCGUUCUGAGUACCCGGAGUUCCUUCAGUCGUAGAUCUUGGGAUGAGAUCUUUUCGUAGUGGUGGAGUGUUGUAACGCCCCAGAUAUUACUUUCCCAAUUUGUACUCCAACUCUUGCCGUUUCCGGCAUUAAGUUAUAUUUAAUUCUCGGGUUCGGGUAUUUGUCUCCGUGUGUUGUUUUCUUUUUCAUGCAUCUCAUAUCAUGUCACCACGUGCAUUGCAUUUGCCUACAUGUUCAUCUCAUGCAUUCGAGCAUUUUCCCCGUUGUCCGUUUUGCAUUCCGGCGCUUCGUUCUCCUCCGGUGGCCAUUUCUAGCUUUCUUUCAUAUGUGGGGAUUAAACAUUUCCAUAUUGGACCGAGACUUGCCAUGCGGCCUUGGUUUACUACCGGUAGACCGCCUGUCAAGUUUCGGGUCAUUUGGACUUCGUUUGAUACUCCAAUGGUUAACCGAGGGACCGAAAAGGCCUCGUGUGUGUUGUAGCCCAACACCCCUCCAAUUUGGCCCAAAACCCACCAAACUCUGCUCCAUGUCCCAGAGUGUUCGAUCACGAUCGCGUGGCCGAAAACCGCACCUCAUUUGGACACUCCUAGCUCCCUCUAUGCCUAUAAAUAGCUCCCCCCAUUUUCGGAUCUCUCUCCCCCGUCCAAAACCCUAAAAAAAAGAUUUCAGAUCCGCCGCCGGACGUGUCCGCCCCGCCGCCGCCGCCCACUCGCGCCGUGCCACAUGGCAGGCCGGCCACCGCCGCCGCCGCGGCCCGCCAGGCCCGGGGACGNNNNNNNNNNNNNNNNNNNNNNNNNNNNNNNNNNNNNNNNNNNNNNNNNNNNNNNNNNNNNNNNNNNNNNNNNNNNNNNNNNNNNNNNNNNNNNNNNNNNNNNNNNNNNNNNNNNNNNNNNNNNNNNNNNNNNNNNNNNNNNNNNNNNNNNNNNNNNNNNNNNNNNNNNNNNNNNNNNNNNNNNNNNNNNNNNNNNNNNNNNNNNNNNNNNNNNNNNNNNNNNNNNNNNNNNNNCCACCUCACCGCCACAGGCUGCCGCCACCGCGGGUCCUCGCCGCCGCCGCCCGAAGCUUCCUCGCCGUCCCCGUCCAAGUCCGACCGCGCCCGGGCUCUCCUUCCCCGGUGCCGCCCUGCGCCUCCUCCCGCGUCUCCGGCGAGCUCAAGUCCGGUGAACCUCGAAUCCCGCGCUGGCGUGAACAGUGCUCCCGGGCCAGAUCUGGAUCUGGAGACAUCGGUUGAGUUUUCGUCCCCGAAACCCUAGUUUUUAUGCAUUCUUUGACUGCUCAUAUCUCCGCAUCCGUAGCUCCGUUUUGGACAUAUGAUAUAUCAAAAUCUUCGUCUCUAUGAGUGCAUCAUUUCAUUCCAUUGCAUCAUUUUCAUUUGAGGUCAUCUUGAUGCCCAAAAUGCUGUUAGAAGGAGGCAUCGUGAGUUAAAUUGCAGAUCCGUUAGCUCAUCAUAGACUUUUGUCAUUUUUGCCAUGAUUGUUGUGUGCAUGAUAUGCCUGUGCCCCUUUGGGAUGAAUUGUUAAGAAUUUUGUCUUCUUUCCAGGGGUGCCAACCAUGAAUUUUUAGGAUGUGUGUGGUGACUUGUGCAAGCUUGCAAAGAGGGGUACCUGAGAAUUCUGUUUUCAGGGACUUAGUGAAUUUCACUAAGUCUGGGAUAUUUUAGUUCACGAUGCCAUAUGUUCAGCUUGUUUCCUAGUGAUCCGUGCCCCUUUUGAGUAUGAUCAGUAUGGGACAUUUGUUAAUCUUGUUAUGCUCUAUCCAUCCAUAUCUUUGUUUGCAUAUGUGGAGUGCUCUAGGUUGAGUCAAUCGAGCUCAACUUUUGCAUCGUUGUUAAUUUGGGCAGAUCAUUAACUCUUUUGCGAUUUUGCCGGUGCUAUUGCUAGUGAUCCAUGCAUGCUAUGCCAUUGUUCUUGCGAUGUCUAGCUAGAUUUUUGUGCCUUCUUUAUGGAUAUAUGCUUUCCUUGCCAUGACUUGGACCGUAGUGAGUGCUUCGAGCUCGUUUACAUGCCUUCGUGAGUUAUGAUUUCAGCAUGUCUCAGUUUUCACUAAGUCUGAAAACUGAUUGUGUUUCAUCUAUGUUCGUGUGCUCGUUAGAGUAUUUUGUGAACCCUUUUGGCCCCAGGUCACUUUGGUUGUUUUGUUAAGCUUGUUGAGUAGCUCCAUGCUAUGUUCUUACUUGUCAUGUUCAGGUUGUGUUUCAUGUUGUUUUGCUGCUCCGAAGAGAGCAUCGUGGUCUGAAAUUUCAGACUAGUGUUAAUUUCACUAAGUCUGAAAUCUGUUUUGCAUAUUCAUUUUUGCCAUGCUUGUUUGGGCCUCAUAAUGGAUGAAUUUGCCUAUGGCUCAGUCCUAGUGAUUUGUUAAGCAUCUUGUGUACAUCCCUGCCAUGUAUUUAGUUUUCAUGUUUGGUGGCUGUAGCAUGUUCAUUUCGUUGCAUUUAGGAGCCUACUUACUGUAAAUCGCAGAUCGGUUCGUUUCGUAAAACGCUUGCCAUUUCCAAACCGUAGCUCCGAUUCCUAUGAUCUUUAUAUCGUUUUCAGGUGAUUUCAUCCCCUCUAUCCAGUGGAACACUUGGUUUUCCAAGUUGAGGCCAGGUUCAUGCAUUUUCUGUCACGUCUUGCAUUUUGCAUCCCGCAUCGCAUCUCGCAUAGCAUACCAUCUUUGCAUCUUAUUGGUUGCCCUUGCACGUGGUUGAUUGUAUCUUUGUUGCUUGUUUGUGUUGUUGGGUAGAGCCGGGAGACGAGUUCACUUACGAGGAGCCCGUUGAGUUUGCUUUUGAGGAUCCAGUCAACUCUGACAACUGUGCAUGCAAGAUGAUCAUACCCUCGAAAUCACUACUAUCUUUGCUAUGCUAGUUUGCUCACUCUUUUGCUUUGCCAAUGCUACGAUGCCUACCACUUGCUUGUCAGCCUCCCAAUUGCCAUGAUUGAGCCUCUAACUCACCUUUGUCCUAGCAAACCGUUGAUUGGCUAUGUUACCGCUUUGCUCAGCCAUUCUUAUAGCGUUGCUAGUUGCAGGUGAAGAUUGGAGCCGUUCCUUGUUGGAACCUUUAUUUACUUGUUGGGAUAUCAUUAUAUUGCUAUGUUAUCUUAAUGCAUCUAUAUACUUGGUAAAGGGUGGAAGGCUCGGCCUCUCGCCUAGUGUUUUGUUCCACUCUUGCCGCCCUAGUUUCCGUCAUAUCGGUGUUAUGUUCCCGGAUUGUUGCGUCCCUUACGCGGUUGGGCUAUAAUGGGAACCCCUUGAUAGUUCGCCUUGAUUAAAGCUUUUCCAGCAAUGCCCAACAUUGGUUUUACCAUUUGCCACCUACCCUCUUUUUCCCUUGGGUUUCCGAAGCCCGAGGGUCAUCUUUAUUUUAGCCCCCCAUGGGCCAGUGCUCCUCUGAGUGUUGGUCCGAAAUGAGCUGCCUGCGGGGCCACCUCGGGGAAACUUGAGGGUUGGUUUUACUCGUAGCUAGUCUCAUCUGAGUGUGCCUUGAGAACGAGAUAUGUGCAGCUCCUAUCGGGAUUUGUCGGCACAUUCGGGUGGUGUUGCUGGACUUGUUUUAACCUGUCGAGUCGUCUUGUUGUACCGAGAUACCGAGUCUGAUCGGUGUGUCUUGGGUGGAGGUCUAUUCCUUCGUUGACCGUGAGAGCUUGUUAUGGGCUAAGUUGGGACCCCCUGCAGGGAUUGAUCUUUCGAAAGCCAUGCCCGCGGUUAUGGGCAGAUGGGAAUUUGUUAAUGUCCGGUUGUAGAUAACAUGAACCUUAAUUAAUUAAAAUGAAUCAACUGAGUGUGUUGCCGUGAUGGCCUCUUCUCAGCAGAGUCCGGGAAGCGGACACGGUGUUGGAGUUAUGUUUGCGCAGGUUGCUCUCUAGUUUCUCGCUCGUGCUUUGCCUCCUCUUCUCGCUCUCUUUUGCGAAUAAGUUAGCCACCAUAUAUGCUAGUCGCUUGCUGCAGCUCCACUUAUACAUUACCCCCUUCCUACCUAUUAAGCUUAAAUAGUCUUGAUCGCGAGGGUGCGAGAUUGCUGAGUCCCUGUGGCUCACAGAUUACUAUUACACCAGAUGCAGGGACAGAUGAUACAGCUCUAGAUGGCGCGCUCGAGCUCAAGUGGGAGUACGACGAGGACUGUUAGCGAUACUAUGUGUCUUUUCCCGAUGAUCAGUAGUGGUGCCCAAUCGGGGUUAGAUUCAGGGCCUUGUCGCAUGUUGGGGGUCUUUUCUAUUUUGGCGCCGUAGUCGGGCCAUGAUUGAUUUGUAUGAUGGAUGUUAUUUAUGUACUUUGAUGUGACGUGGCGAGUGUAAGCCAACUAUGUUCCCCCCCUUUAUAUUAUUUAUGUACUUGGGAUGUGUGAUGAUUUCCCGACUUGCGACAUUGCUUUCAAUGCGGCUAUGCCUCUAAGUCGUGCCUCGACACGUGGGAGAUAUAGCCGCAUCGAGGG